rnacentral:hammerhead_ribozyme from 1 species
AUCCAGCUGACGAGUUCCAAAUAGGAAGAAAACGCGCGUCAAACUGCAU